AACGAACGCUGGCGGCGUGUUUAAGACAUGCAAGUCGCACGGUAUCAGAUAUGUAGCAAUACUUGUCUGGUUCAGUGGCGCACGGGUGAGUAACACGUGAAUUACAUGCCCUUUAGAGGGGGAUAGCCCAGGGAAACUUGGAUUAAUACCCCAUGGUCUCGCAAGAGUAAAGGUGGCCAGCAAUGGCUGUCGCUAAAGGAUUGGUUCGCGUCCUAUCAGCUUGUUGGCGGGGUAACGGCCCACCAAGGCAACGACGGGUACCUGGUCUGAGAGGACGAUCAGGCACACUGGAACUGAGACACGGUCCAGACACCUACGGGUGGCAGCAGUCGAGAAUAAUUCACAAUGGGGGCAACCCUGAUGGUGCAACGCCGCGUGGAGGAUGACGGUCUUCGGAUUGUAAACUCCUGUCAUCUGGGAGUAAGACCUGGUCGUUAAUAGCGGACAGGGUUGAUAGUACCAGAAGAGGAAGGGACGGCUAACUUCGUGCCAGCAGCCGCUGUAACAC
rnacentral:rRNA from 1 species